rnacentral:rRNA from 1 species
UACGUAGGGUGCGAGCGUUAAUCGGAAUUACUGGGCGUAAAGCGUGCGCAGGCGGUUUUGCAAGCCGGAUGUGAAAUCCCCGGGCUCAACCUGGAAUGGCAUUCGGGACUGCAAGGCUGGAGUGCGGCAGAGGAGACUGGAAUUCCUGGUGUAGCAGUGAAAUGACGUAGAUAUCAGGAGGAAUACCGAUGGCGAAGGCAGGUCUCUGGGCUGACACUGACGCUCAUGCACGAAAGCGUGGGGAGCAAACAGG